rnacentral:rRNA from 1 species
CGCGUAGGCGGCCUUCUAAGUCAGACGUGAAACUCCCCCGGCUUAACCCUGGGAACUGCGUCUGAUACUGGGAGGCUUGAGUAUGGGAGAGGGAUGUAGAAUUCCAGGUGUAGCGGUGAAAUGCGUAGAUAUCUGGAGGAAUACCGGUGGCGAAGGCGGCAUCCUGGACCACAACUGACGCUGAGGCGCGAAAGCUAGGGGAGCAAACG